rnacentral:rRNA from 1 species
GUGGGGAAUAUUGGACAAUGGGCGAAAGCCUGAUCCAGCCAUGCCGCGUGUGUGAAGAAGGUCUUCGGAUUGUAAAGCACUUUAAGUUGGGAGGAAGGGCAGUAAGUUAAUACCUUGCUGUUUUGACGUUACCGACAGAAUAAGCACCGGCUAACUUCGUGCCAGCAGCCGCGGUAAUACGAAGGGUGCAAGCGUUAAUCGGAAUUACUGGGCGUAAAGCGCGCGUAGGUGGUUUUGUAAGUUGGAGGUGAAAUCCCCGGGCUCAACCUGGGAACUGCCUCCAAAACUGCAUGACUAGAGUACGGUAGAGGGUAGUGGAAUUUCCUGUGUAGCGGUGAAAUGCGUAGAUAUAGGAAGGAACACCAGUGGCGAAGGCGACUACCUGGACUGAUACUGACACUGAGGUGCAAAAGCGUGGGGAGCAAACAGGAUUAGAAACCCCUGUAGUCC